rnacentral:rRNA from 1 species
AUUGAACGCUGGCGGAAUGCUUUACACAUGCAAGUCGAACGGCAGCACGGGGGCAACCCUGGUGGCGAGUGGCGAACGGGUGAGUAAUACAUCGGAACGUGCCCAGUCAUGGGGGAUAACGUAGCGAAAGUUAUGCUAAUACCGCAUACGAUCUACGGAUGAAAGCGGGGGACCGUAAGGCCUCGCGCGAUUGGAGCGGCCGAUGUCAGAUUAGGUAGGUGGUGGGGUAAAGGCUCACCAAGCCAACGAUCUGUAGCUGGUCUGAGAGGACGACCAGUCACAGUGGAACUGAGACACGGUCCGGACUACUACGGGAGGCAGCAGUGGGGAAUUUUGGACAAUGGACGCAAGUCUGAUCCAGCCAUUCCGCGUGCAGGAUGAAGGCCCUCGGGUUGUAAACUGCUUUUGUACGGAACGAAAAGGUCUCUCUUAAUACGGGGGACUCAUGACGGUACCGUAAGAAUAAGCACCGGCUAACUACGUGCCAGCCGCCGCAGUAA